rnacentral:rRNA from 1 species
GGAUCCAGACUUUGAUUCUGGCUCAGGAUGAACGCUAGCUACAGGCUUAACACAUGCAAGUCGAGGGGAAACGACAUCGAAAGCUUGCUUUUGAUGGGCGUCGACCGGCGCACGGGUGAGUAACGCGUACCCAACCUGCCCACCACUUGGGGAUAACCUUGCGAAAGUAAGACUAAUACCCAAUGAUAUCUCUAGAAGACAUCUGAAAGAGAUUAAAGAUUUAUCGGUGAUGGAUGGGGAUGCGUCUGAUUAGCUUGUUGGCGGGGUAACGGCCCACCAAGGCGACGAUCAGUAGGGGUUCUGAGAGGAAGGUCCCCCACAUUGGAACUGAGACACGGUCCAAACUCCCACGGGAGGCAGCAGUGAGGAAUAUUGGUCAAUGGGCGAGAGCCUGAACCAGCCAAGUAGCGUGCAGGAUGACGGCCCUAUGGGUUGUAAACUGCUUUUAUAAGGGAAUAAAGUGAGUCUCGUGAGACUUUUUGCAUGUACCUUAUGAAUAAGGACCGGCUAAUUCCGUGCCAGCAGCCGCGGUAAUACGGAAGGUCCGGGCGUUAUCCGGAUUUAUUGGGUUUAAAGGGAGCGUAGGCCGGAGAUUAAGCGUGUUGUGAAAUGUAGACGCUCAACGUCUGCACUGCAGCGCGAACUGGUUUCCUUGAGUACGCACAAAGUGGGCGGAAUUCGUGGUGUAGCGGUGAAAUGCUUAGAUAUCACGAAGAACUCCGAUUGCGAAGGCAGCUCACUGGAGCGCAACUGACGCUGAAGCUCGAAAGUGCGGGUAUCGAACAGGAUUAGAUACCCUGGUAGUCCGCACGGUAAACGAUGGAUGCCCGCUGUUGGUCUGAACAGGUCAGCGGCCAAGCGAAAGCAUUAAGCAUCCAACCUGGGGAGUACGCCGGCAACGGUGCAACUCAAAUGAAUUGACGG